AACGAACGCUGGCGGCACGUUUUAAGCAUGCAAGUCGAAUGGCAGCAGGGGCAACUCUGUGAGAAUGGCGAACGGGUGAGUAACACGUAGGUGAUCUGCCUUGAGGAUGGGGAUAGCCUGUGGAAACACAGGGUAAUACAGAAUAAGCUGACGGGACUUUGGUUUUGUUAGUAAAGGUGCUACGGCACCGCCUUGAGAGGAGCCUGCGGCUGAUUGGCUAGUUGGUGGGGUAAAGGCCUACCAAGGCGACGAUCAGUAGCCGGCCUGAGAGGGUGUACGGCCACACGGGGACUGAGACAGGGCCCAGACUCCUACGGGAGGCAGCAGCUAAGAAUCUUCCGCAAUGGGCGAAAGCCUGACGGAGCGAUGCCGCGUGAUCGAUGAAGGUCGAGAGAUUGUAAAGAUCUUUUCUACAUGAGGAAUAAGUCUGGGAGGGAAUGCCUGGAUGAUGACGUUAGUGUAGGAAUAAGCCCCGGCUAAUUACGUGCCAGCAGCCGCAGUAA
rnacentral:rRNA from 1 species